CCGGCACGGGUGAGUAACACGUAUCCAACCUGCCGUCUACUCUUGGACAGCCUUCUGAAAGGAAGAUUAAUACAAGAUGGCAUCAUGAGUCCGCAUGUUCACAUGGUUAAAGGUAUUCCGGUAGACGAUGGGGAUGCGUUCCAUUAGAUAGUAGGCGGGGUAACGGCCCACCUAGUCUUCGAUGGAUAGGGGUUCUGAGAGGAAGGUCCCCCACAUUGGAACUGAGACACGGUCCAA
rnacentral:rRNA from 1 species